GGAAGGGUGAGAAUUUCUCGCACACUCUCUCCUAGAGCUUGGCAGUGCUUGUCUGUCCGUGGAUGUCAGAGCUCUAGGUCUUCCACCUUUGUACUCUAGGACUCAUACCAGCAGUUCCUAGGCUCUCCAGCCUUCAGCCUUGGACUGAGAAUGUUACCACCAGCUUCCCUGAUUCCCAGGCCUUCGGACUUGGUCUGAACCACACUACCGGCUUUCUUGGUUCUUCAGCUUCCAGAUGGCCUAUUGUGGGAUUUCUCAGCCUCUGUAAUUGUAGUCUUCAGGUUUUUCCAUAUAUAACAUCAUAUCAUCUGCAAACAAGGACAAUCUGACUUCUUCCUUUAUGAACUUUGGAGAAGUUUCCUGUCUGUAAAAAGGAGUCUCCCAUCAGCCUUUGCAGGGAAUUUCAGAAGGACUCUCUCUCACCAUAGACAUCAAAGCUGGGAAUGUGCUGAAUUUCACCUGAAGUCAGCAAGUCUGUCUCACCCAAGGCCCUCAACAUAGUACUUGCUUAUUGCUGCUGGUUCUUCAAGGUCCAAAUGCUCUUCAGUUAGCAGGGCAGUCCUGGAUUCAGUGCCUCGCAUUUGUGGUGCUCUCCCUCUCCCCAUUGCAAGGAAACACUCUCUGCACCAUGCUGCCCCUGCCAGGGGAUGGGAGACGGAUGGUGUCAGUGAUUUAAGAUUUCUUUCCUACCUAAGUGCCUCUUUCAGGAAUAUAAAGUUAAAACCAGGUACUGUGAAUACUAACCUGAUUUUUGUGGUUCUUAUGAAGGUGCUUUUUUUGUGUAGACAGUUGUUAAAUUGGUGUCUUUGUGUGAGAGACAAUUGGUGGAGCCUUCUUUCUCUGCCCCAACUCCCUAUAGGGUAUUUAGUAGCAUUCCUGGUCCAUACUAAUUAGAUGAAAGUAGCAACUGCUUUCACCCUCAUUUGUUGCAAUUAAAAAUAUCUCCAAACAUUGCCAAAUGUCUUCCCAGAGGAAAAAUCAACACUGGCUUAGAAUGACUAUUGUAGAUAUAUUUUAUAGGCAAAGCCAAAAAAAAAAAAAAAAAGGACUGGAAAGAGAUGUGUCCAGUGUGAUGCAUUAAUUGGAAGACAGUUAAACUUUUGUCACUAUCAGACAAAGCAAAUAAUCCAGGGUGUGUUGGUGAGCAUUGUUCAAUGAGGUAACCCAGGAAACAGCUUUCGGGGGUGGAAGCAUUGCCAUACCAAAUAUAUCUGAUUUAUUAGGUAGCUCACAAGAACUGAAACAAAUUUUUAACUUGUAGAAAGGCCAAAGAACAUAUGAAGAUUAAACAACAUCAAUUUUAAG
rnacentral:lncRNA from 1 species